GGAGAGGUGGAUGAGUGGUUGAAGUCGCACGCCUGGAAAGCGUGUAUAGGUUCAUAACCUAUCGGGGGUUCGAAUCCCCCUCUCUCCGCCA
rnacentral:tRNA from 1 species